AUUGAACAAUUGCAACAUACAAAACAAGAAAAUACAACAAUUAUACACAUAUAAUGUACAAUAGAAUUCUGAAUACAGAACACACAUGUUGCAUUCUUUAAAAAAUACUAAUUAUUAAUAAUAAACACAAAAGGGAAUAAGAAAUAAAAAGAAACAAAAAAAUAAAGAGAAAAGAGAAAAUGCGAGAGUAAAUCUAUGUCAGCAGUCCAAAAGAUUUACAGAUGCUAAUUGUUUUUUGAGCUUUUGUAUUUUUUGAAGCAGAAAUUAAGUUUAAAUAACGCUGCAGUUCCAGUUUGAACACAAAGAAAUCCGGUUUUUUAUUGGAAAAUUUUCUUUUGUGUAUAUGAAAUUUAGCGAUAAAUAAUACCAUGUUUACACAAAAGAAAGCAUCACGGUCUUUGACAUCAAAGCUAUGAAAACCAAAAAGUAUGUUUUUAUAAUAAAGUUGUAUGUCAGCAAAAAUAGAAUCGGUGAUAAAUUUGUGAAUGUUUUUCCAAAAUCUGUAUGUAAAUUCACAAGACCAGAAUAAGUGAGAGCAGGUUUCAGAUCCCCUCAUGAGUAUGUGGGAGGAGAAAGAAAAGAGAUAGUAAAGUUUGUGCCUGACUGAUAUCCAUUAGUGUCUUUCAUUUAGUGUUCCUAAAACUCUUUCCUGUUUUGGAUUUGUGAUUCUUCAGCUCUUAAGAAAAGAAAAACAUUUUUUUUAACAAAAGCCAGGAAAUUUGAAGAUGUACAACCAAAACCCUCCGCCCUACUCUGACGCAGAUCCUGGGAUGAUUGCACCAUUUUACCCCCCAGGAUUCCAGAACGCUGUUGUUACUGGACCCCCGGCUGUUGUCAUAUCAACAGUGACACAAGUGACAGCUCCUCUAAGAGAUACUCCUGGAGUAACUUUUUGUGUCUACUGCCAGAAGAACGUACUUACCAGGACAUCAUUUGAGAUAGGAGCCAUGGCUUGGGUAUUUUGUGGCGGUAUCACUCUGCUUGGGUGCUGGCCUUGCAUGCUCCUCCCGUUUUGCCUCGAUUCCUGCAAAGACGUGAAGCAUUACUGUCCUUCCUGUAACAACUUGCUUCACUUUUACAGAAAAAUGUAAAGCAGAUUCUGCUUUUCUUUGUAAAAAAGAAAUGUAUUAAAAAACUCUAUUUUGUUCAUUUGUGUCCAAUUGAAUUUAAACUAUAGUGAAAUAUAUCACAAAUAUUUUUAUUUUGUUACAUUUCAGAGUCAGUUUACGGCACCUUCUUAAGUUAAAGGUUUUGUCAUGUUUGACCUAUGUCACAUUCAGGAUCAGAUUUUUAACUCAUUAUGAUGUUUAAUAAAAUAUUUGUAAAAAGUUC